GACGAACGCUGGCGGCGUGCCUAACACAUGCAAGUCAACUUGACUGAAGGAGCAAUCUGACAGUAGAGUGGCGCAAGGGUGCGUAACGCGUAAGUAACUUGCCCCAAGGUAAGGAAUAACGUCGAGAAAUCGGCGCUAAUAACCUCAUAAUGCAGCGGAUCCGCAUGGAUAUGUUGUUAAAGGUUUACCGCCUUGGGAUAGGCUUGCGUCUGAUUAGCUAGUUGGUGUGGUAACGGCACACCAAGGCUACGAUCAGUAACUGGUCUGAGAGGAUGAUCAGUCACACUGGAACUGAGACACGGUCCAGACUCCU
rnacentral:rRNA from 1 species